rnacentral:rRNA from 1 species
GACGAACGCUGGCGGCGUGCUUAACACAUGCAAGUCGAACGGAAAGGCCCUGCUUUUGUGGGGUGCUCGAGUGGCGAACGGGUGAGUAACACGUGAGUAACCUGCCCUUGACUUUGGGAUAACUUCAGGAAACUGGGGCUAAUACCGGAUAGGAUCUCCUGCUGCAUGGUGGGGGUUGGAAAGUUUCGGCGGUUGGGGAUGGACUCGCUGGUUAUCAGCUUGUUUGUGGGGUAGUUGCUUACCAAGGCUUUGACGGGUAGCCGGCCUGAGAGGGUGAACGGCCACAUUAGGACUGAGAUACGGCCCAGGAUCGUACGGGAGGCAGCAGUGGGGAAUAUUGCACAAAGGGCGGAAGCCUGAUGCAGAAACGCCGCGUGCGGGAUGACGGCCUACGGGUUGUAAACCGAUUUCGAAUGUGACGAAGCGUGAGUGACGGUAAUGGGUAAAGAAGCACCGGCUAACUACGUG